rnacentral:lncRNA from 1 species
CAUCCGAUGUUGUGCUCCUCCUGUUCCCUUGAAAGGAUUGCUGGAUGGAAAGAUGUUUUUGCUUUCAGGAUUUCUGGUGUGUGUACGACCCUCUAAGUAACUCUUUUUCAUCUCAUGCAGCAGCAGAGGCUUAGAGGAAGGCGCUGCAGCGUGGAUGCACAUGGGAUGCUGCAGGUUAAAGUCCUUUUAGUUUGUUGAUAAUUUGUCAGACGUAGAUUGUAAGUUAUAUAGCAGAAAUAGAUUUUAAUUUGUGUAUGGUGUGGAUUCCAAAAACUAAUCUGCUUGUACUGAAUUAAUGUCUUGUACAUAAAUUUGCAUGAUGAAUCUUUUUGCAAGAUACAUGUGCCAAAGAGGAGGAGAGUAUGAAAGGAUAAAGGAGUCAGGAAGGACCGAAGGAGAAAUCAUAU